rnacentral:rRNA from 1 species
UCGAGAAUCUUCGGCAAUGGGCGCAAGCCUGACCGAGCGACGCCGCGUGCGGGAUGAAUGCCUUCGGGUUGUAAACCGCUGUCAGAGGUUAGGAAAUGCCGUGGGGCUAUCCCCACGGUUUGACCGAUCCUCAGAGGAAGUCCGGGCUAAGUUCGUGCCAGCAGCCGCGGUAAGACGAACCGGACAAACGUUAUUCGGAAUCACUGGGCUUAAAGGGUGCGUAGGCGGUCUGGAAGGUGGGGUGUGAAAUCCCUCGGCUCAACCGAGGAACUGCGCCCCAAACCAUCAGGCUUGAGGGAGAUAGAGGUGAGCGGAACUACAGGUGGAGCGGUGAAAUGCGUUGAUAUCUGUAGGAACACCGGUGGCGAAAGCGGCUCACUGGGUCUCUUCUGACGCUGAGGCACGAAAGCUAGGGUAGCGAACGGGAUUAGAUACCCCCGUAGUC